rnacentral:rRNA from 1 species
UACGUAGGGGGCAAGCGUUGUCCGGAAUCAUUGGGCGUAAAGAGCGUGUAGGCGGCUUGGUAAGUCCGCUGUGAAAGUCCAGGGCUCAACCCUGGAAAGCCGGUGGAAACUGUCAAGCUCGAGUCCGGAAGAGGCGAGUGGAAUUCCUGGUGUAGCGGUGAAAUGCGCAGAUAUCAGGAGGAACACCAUGGCGAAGGCAGCUCGCUGGGACGUACUGACACUGAGGCGCGAAAGCGUGGGGAGCGAACAGG